ACGAAAAAGUCGCAUACGCCACGUUGCCCUGCGUGUUGGUUUUUCCAAUUCAAAUCUCUCAAUUCGUGUCCGCGCCAUAGAAAACUGAAAUCAGAAAACCCAAAGAAGCGGCAAUAUUUGCAGCAGCAGCAACAGCUACGGCAGCAACAUCAGUCGAAGCAGCAGCAGCAACAAAAUCAAAACACGUUUUACUCCCGCACAUUGAAAACGUAUUUUCCGCAUACAACAAGGAUUUAAUUUUCAAUCGCAAACCAUUUAAAUUGGUUUAUAAUUUCCAUAAAUAUUUGUGCUUUUUUGUGUUUUUUGAAUGAAAGUGUGUAACCGAAAAUAUGGAAAUUUCGCUUAUAAAUAUUGAUGUGUUUUAUUGAAUAUUUGUGUCUUUACUUUGAAGUCGGUUUCGUUUUUGUGUCGAUAUUUUGCAUUAUUAAUUACAAUUUACGUUCAUCAAGUGGAAACGGUCACAACAACAGAUUGAGAGUCAAUUUCAAAAUACGGAAAACAAGGAUCUAAGCAAAGUGAGUUGGUGCAAUGUAUUAUAUUUGAACUGUGAUUAAUUACAGUCCUCAUUGGAAUUCUCCUCCCACUGCCAUUCCCUUGGGGCCUUUAAGCAAAUUUGGCAAAAUUUCAAUUUAAAUUUGCAAUUAAAUUGGAUUGUUUUGCAUCUCAUUUGCUUCCUCAUACAUCCCCCUCCAGCCAAACGUAUCUCGGGUGUAAUGUGCUAUCUAAUCGGCAUCUUUCAAUUAUUUAAUCGGUUAUAUUUACACCCUCACACUCGCUCACAAGCAGCUCAGUAAAUAUUACCCAUACGACAUGGUAGCCCAGCUGAACGUGCUCGGCAUGCUCGAUGGGGAUAAAUCAAUUAAAGUUUCAGGGAUUUUACGACUACACUAACUAAAUGAUGAUGCUGGCCGUUUUAAACUCAUUUUAAAGGCGGACGACGCGCCCCUAAAAACUCCCCAAACAAAUAUCAACAAACGCGUGCAACAUUUGCAUAAACUCGCGCCACUCUUUAUUAUUAUUAUUUCUGCGACUGCGUUUUUAUCGUUUUAUGUUUUGGCCAACUCUCGAAUAUUCAAAAGCCAAUUGGGCAAAGUUUUUUGCCAAAUAUGCAAAUGUAGCGUCGAACAAUAUUUUUGUUGGCAUUUUAUCUGUUUUUGUCGCAUUUCGUAGCAAUUAAAUGACAACGAAUUAAUCAUAAAAAGGCGUAAAAUUUUAUUCACAACAUUUAUUCGCCAGCUGUCA